UACGUAGGGGGCAAGCGUUGUCCGGAUUUAUUGGGCGUAAAGAGCGUGUAGGCGGCUUUACAGGUCCGUUGUGAAAACUCGAGGCUCAACCUCGAGACGCCGGUGGAAACCGUAAAGCUAGAGUCCGGAAGAGGAGAGUGGAAUUCCUGGUGUAACGGUGAAAUGCGCAGAUAUCAGGAGGAACACCCGUGGCGAAAGCGGCUCUCUGGGACGGUACUGACGCUGAGACGCGAAAGCGUGGGAGCAAACAGG
rnacentral:rRNA from 1 species